rnacentral:rRNA from 1 species
GAUGAAUGCUGGCGGUAUGCUUAACACAUGCAAGUCGAACGGUCACUUCGGUGAUAGUGGCGGACGGGUGAGUAACGCGUGAGAAUCUGUCUUCAGGUCGGGGACAACAGUUAGAAAUGACUGCUAAUACCGGAUGUGCCUUUGGGUGAAAGAUUUAUUGCCUGAAAAAGAGCUCGCGUCAGAUUAGCUAGUAGGUGGUGUAAGAGACUACCUAGGCUCCGAUCUGUAGCUGGUCUGAGAGGACGAUCAGCCACACUGGAACUGAGACACGGUCCAGACUCCUACGGGAGGCAGCAGUGGGGAAUUUUCCGCAAUGGGCGAAAGCCUGACGGAGCAAUACCGCGUGAGGGACGAAGGCUUUUGGGUCGUAAACCUCUUUUCUCAAGGAAGAUGAUGACGGUACUUGAGGAAUAAGCAUCGGCUAACUCUGUG